CCUACGGGAGGCAGCAGUGGGGAAUAUUGGACAAUGGGGGCAACCCUGAUCCAGCCAUGCCGCGUGUGUGAAGAAGGCCCUCGGGUUGUAAAGCACUUUCAGUGAGGAAGAACGCCUGGUGGUUAAUACCCAUCAGGAAAGACAUCACUCACAGAAGAAGCACCUGCUAACUCCGUGCCAGCAGCCGCGGUAAUACGGAGGGUGCGAGCGUUAAUCGGAAUUACUGGGCGUAAAGCGCGCGUAGGUGGCUUGAUAAGCCGGUUGUGAAAGCCCCGGGCUCAACCUGGGAACGGCAUCCGGAACUGUCAAGCUAGAGUGCAGGAGAGGAAGGUAGAAUUCCCGGUGUAGCGGUGAAAUGCGUAGAGAUCGGGAGGAAUACCAGUGGCGAAGGCGGCCUUCUGGACUGACACUGACACUGAGGUGCGAAAGCGUGGGUAGCAAACAGGAUUAGAUACCCGGGUAGUC
rnacentral:rRNA from 1 species